UACGGGGGGGCAAGCGUUGAUGGGAAUUACUGGGCGUAAAGGGCGCGUAGGGGGGUGGACAAGUCUCUCGUGAAAGCCCACGGCUCAACCGUGGAAUUGCGGGAGAUACUGUCUGUCUUGAGUCCGGGAGAGGAGGGUGGAAUUCCCAGUGUAGCGGUGAAAUGCGUAGAUAUUGGGAGGAACAACGGUGGCGAAGGCGGUUCUCUGGACCGGUACUGACGCUGGGGCUCGAAAGCUAGGGGAGCAAACGGG
rnacentral:rRNA from 1 species